AUGGUUGAACUUCAAAGGAAUGUUAUGUUUCCUGCCGUUUAUCACCUCAUUGAGUUGGCAUUGCUACUACCGGUAGCGAUGGCAACAGUUGAAAGAGCCUUCUCAUCAAUGAAAAUCAUCGACACUGAGUUGUGCAGCAAGAUGUCUGAUGCCUGGUUUAAUGACUUGAUGGUGUGUUACAUUGAG
rnacentral:rRNA from 1 species